UACGUAGGCAGCGAGCGUUGUUCGGAAUUACUGGGCGUAAAGAGUGUGUAGGCGGUGCUCUAAGUUCGGUGUGAAAUCUCCCGGCUUAACUGGGAGGGUGCGCCGGAAACUGGAGUGCUCGAGCGUGGGAGAGGAUAGCGGAAUUCCUGGUGUAGCGGUGAUAUGCGUAGAUAUCAGGAGGAACACCGGUGGCGAAGGCGGGUCUCUGGGCCGAUACUGACGCUGAGGAGCGAAAGCGUGGGGAGCGAUCCGG
rnacentral:rRNA from 1 species